rnacentral:rRNA from 1 species
AGCGAACGCUGGCGGCAGGCUUAACACAUGCAAGUCGAGCGAGCGGCAGACGGUGGAGUAACGCGUGGUAACGUACCGUUUGGUUCGGAACAACGCGGGGAAACUUGUGCAAAUACCGGAUACCGAAAGAUCGGCCCGCGUCUGAUUAGCUAGUUGGGAGGGUAAUGGCCUACCAAGGCGACGAUCAGUAGCUGGUCUGAGAGGAUGACCAGCCACACUGGAACUGAGACACGGUCCAGACUCCUACGGGAGGCAGCAGUGGGGAAUAUUGCACAAUGGGCGCAAGCCUGAUGCAGCCAUGCCGCGUGUAUGAAGAAGGCCUUCGGGUUGUAAAGUACUUUCAGCGGGGAGGCGUUACCCGCAGAAGAAGCACCGGCUAACUCCGUGCCAGCAGCCGCGGUAAUAC